GAUGAACGCUGGCGGCGUGCCUAAUACAUGCAAGUCGAGCGAACAGACGAGGAGCUUGCUCCUCUGACGUUAGCGGCGGACGGGUGAGUAACACGUGGAUAACCUACCUAUAAGACUGGGAUAACUUCGGGAAACCGGAGCUAAUACCGGCUCAUAUAUUGAACCGCAUGGUUCAAUAGUGAAAGACGGUUUUGCUGUCACUUAUAGAUGGAUCCGCGCCGCAUUAGCUAGUUGGUAAGGUAACGGCUUACCAAGGCGACGAUGCGUAGCCGACCUGAGAGGGUGAUCGGCCACACUGGAACUGAGACACGGUCCAGACUCCUACGGGAGGCAGCAGUAGGGAAUCUUCCGCAAUGGGCGAAAGCCUGACGCAGCAACGCCGCGUGAGUGAUGAAGGUCUUCGGAUCGUAAAGCUCUGUUAUUAGGGAAGAACAAAUGUGUAAGUAACUAUGCACGUCUUGACGGUACCUAAUCAGAAAGCCACGGCUAACUACGUG
rnacentral:rRNA from 1 species